rnacentral:rRNA from 1 species
GUGAGUCAUCGAAUCUUUGAACGCACCUUGCGCCCUUUGGCUAUUCCGAAGGGCAUGCCUGUUUGAGUAUCAUGAACACCUCAACUCUCAUGGCUUGCCAUGAUGAGCUUGGACUUUGGGGGUCUUGCUGGCCUGGGGUCAGCUCCUCUCAAAUGAAUUAGCUUGCCAGUGUUUGGUGUGGUAUCAUGGGUGUGAUAACUAUCUACGCUUGUGGUUUUCCACCAGGUAACCUUCUGCGACGAAGGUUCGCUGGGGCUCAUAAAUGUCUCUCCUCGGUGAGGACAGCUUUUUGAACGUUUGAUCUCAAAUCAGG